rnacentral:tRNA from 1 species
GGGCACAUAGCGGAGUGGUUUACCGCAUCGGUUUUCGGUUUCGACUGAUUCCCGAAGGUCAUGGGUUCGAUCCCCAUUGUGCUCU